UGCAGCUAAAAUUAUUUCAGAGGCACCCUUGCAGUGUGCCCGAAAACCUCCAUCAGGAAGCUCUAAAACUACACCCAUUCUCUUCUUUGCAGAGUUGAAUGGUUCAACUUUCACAAUUUUUGAUUUUUCUCUUUCUUCUUUGAAAUUUCCUCCCAGUAACAACCCCAACUCUAAAAGAGCAGUUUCAGUGGGUGAUCCUAGAAUCUCAAUUUUGUUCUCUUUGUUAAUAACAACUUCUCCUCCAGUGUUAUUAAAUAUUGACUCAAAUAGAAUUCUCAUAGCAGAAUCAGGAACUGCAGGACCAAAAUUAAGAGUACUCUUGGAGCUGUUCACUUCCUUGAUUUCCCCACAGAUGCAUGCUUUUACAACGGUCAUGUGGUUAGUUGUUAGUGUUCCAGUUUUGUCACUACAGAUAGUUGUGGCAGACCCCAUUGUCUCGCAAGCAGCCAGAUGACGAACAAGUGCCUUAUCAUUCAUCAUCUUCUUCAUGGCAAAAGCAAGACUUAAUGUGACAGCCAAAGGAAGGCCCUCAGGAACUGCAACAACAACAAUUGUAACAGCAACAGCAAAAAAUUCCAACAUUUCCAUGGCAUCAUCACCAGACCAGUUCCAGUGACUUCCUUCAACAAGCUUACGCCUAAAUAAUCCUUCCACCAGGACAGCAAAUGUCACAAUGGCAAAAAAUAGGCCUAUUUUCCCAAUUAUGGUUGCUACUCCAUUCAGUUUGACCUGCAAUGGGGUCUCAUCGUCUCCUCCUUCACUUAGUGUAGCCAUUAGUUUACCCCACUGUGUUCUCAUUCCAACAGUAGUCACAAGCAUUUUGCAUGAUCCAUCUUGAACUUUGGUUCCUGAAAGAAGAAAGGGAUUUGUAGCAUCCACAUGAACUGGCUCACUCUCUCCUGUUAAACUAGAUUCAUUAAUUAACAAAGAAAACCCGGAGAUAAAAAGUCCAUCAGCUGGGACCUGGUCUCCAAUGGAAAGAUGAACGAU
rnacentral:misc_RNA from 1 species